rnacentral:tRNA from 1 species
AAGGCUUUAGCUUAAUUAAAGUGUCUGAGUUGCAAUCAGAGGAUGUGUGUUAAAAUAAUACAGGCCU